rnacentral:rRNA from 1 species
GACGAACGCUGGCGGCGUGCUUAACACAUGCAAGUCGAACGGAAAGGCCCUGCUUUUGUGGGGUGCUCGAGUGGCGAACGGGUGAGUAACACGUGAGUAACCUGCCCUUGACUUUGGGAUAACUUCAGGAAACUGGGGCUAAUACCGGAUAGGAGCUCCUGCUGCAUGGUGGGGGUUGGAAAGUUUCGGCGGUUGGGGAUGGACUCGCGGCUUAUCAGCUUGUUGGUGGGGUAGUGGCUUACCAAGGCUUUGACGGGUAGCCGGCCUGAGAGGGUGACCGGCCACAUUGGGACUGAGAUACGGCCCAGACUCCUACGGGAGGCAGCAGUGGGGAAUAUUGCACAAUGGGCGGAAGCCUGAUGCAGCAACGCCGCGUGCGGGAUGACGGCCUUCGGGUUGUAAACCGCUUUCGCCUGUGACGAAGCGUGAGUGACGGUAAUGGGUAAAGAAGCACCGGCUAACUACGUGCCAGCAGCCACGGUGAUACGUAGGGUGCGAGCGUUGUCCGGAUUUAUUGGGCGUAAAGGGCUCGUAGGUGGUUGAUCGCGUCGGAAGUGUAAUCUUGGGGCUUAACCCUGAGCGUGCUUUCGAUACGGGUUGACUUGAGGAAGGUAGGGGAGAAUGGAAUUCCUGGUGGAGCGGUGGAAUGCGCAGAUAUCAGGAGGAACACCAGUGGCGAAAGCGGUUCUCUGGGCCUUUCCUGGCGCUGAGGAGCGAAAGCGUGGGGAGCGAACAGGCUUAGAUACCCUGGUAGUCCACGCUGUAAACGGUGGGUACUAGGUGUGGGGUCCAUUCCACGGGUUCCGUGCCGUAGCUAACGCUUUAAGUACCCCGCCUGGGGAGUACGGCCGCAAGGCUAAAACUCAAAGGAAUUGACGGGGCCCCGCACAAGCGGCGGAGCAUGCGGAUUAAUUCGAUGCAACGCGUAGAACCUUACCUGGGUUUGACAUGGAUCGGGAGUGCUCAGAGAUGGGUGUGCCUCUUUUGGGGUCGGUUCACAGGUGGUGCAUGGCUGUCGUCAGCUCGUGUCGUGAGAUGUUGGGUUAAGUCCCGCAACGAGCGCAACCCUUGUUCACUGUUGCCAGCACGUUAUGGUGGGGACUCAGUGGAGACCGCCGGGGUCAACUCGGAGGAAGGUGGGGAUGACGUCAAGUCAUCAUGCCCCUUAUGUCCAGGGCUUCACGCAUGCUACAAUGGCUGGUACAGAGAGUGGCGAGCCUGUGAGGGUGAGCGAAUCUCGGAAAGCCGGUCUCAGUUCGGAUUGGGGUCUGCAACUCGACCUCAUGAAGUCGGAGUCGCUAGUAAUCGCAGAUCAGCAACGCUGCGGUGAAUACGUUCCCGGG